rnacentral:rRNA from 1 species
UACGUAGGGUGCAAGCGUUAAUCGGAAUUACUGGGCGUAAAGCGUGCGCAGGCGGUGAUGUAAGACAGUUGUGAAAUCCCCGGGCUCAACCUGGGAACUGCAUCUGUGACUGCAUCGCUGGAGUGCGGCAGAGGGGGAUGGAAUUCCGCGUGUAGCAGUGAAAUGCGUAGAUAUGCGGAGGAACACCGAUGGCGAAGGCACUCUUCUGGGAAGUUCCUGACGCUCAGGUGCGAAAGCUAGGGGAGCGAACGGG